rnacentral:lncRNA from 1 species
AAUUUCUUACUUCCAUAGGCUAGUAAAUCAAGAUAUUGGAUCUGUGCAGGCUCAAAAAUGUGAGAGAUUCCAGGCAGGGAAGUAACGUGCCUGACAUCCACGGAACCAGUUCCUCCCAGAGGUGGCACUGCUGACUCUCUGUUCACAGCCACUUACACUACCAUCCCUGCAGAAAUGGGGUGCUACAGAGAAUGUCCUUAGCAAACUUUCAGAGACAAGGCUAUUUUAGAGCGCAAGAGCAAAAACCCAUUCAACCUGGCAAAAAUCACAGAGUCUUAGAAAGAAUCAGGAUCUUACAGAGCUCCAGUCAGGCCUCAUUGGGAACUGGAACCAGCAAUUGGAAAAGCAGCAGGAACCUAGACAGUUAUUGUCCCUCGUGUGGGUGUGUGUAUGUGUCUCCAGGCUACUUUCUCUCUGCUUCCCUUUGCACACGAAGCUGCUGGAGCAGGAACCUGGUCAGCCCUUUCGGUCAGGUGUCCACCCCUUCUCCCUCCAGGAACGAGCAGGGAGCGGAGCCAGUUGUAGAAACAUGG